rnacentral:rRNA from 1 species
AGCGUAGACGGAUGGACAAGUCUGAUGUGAAAGGCUGGGGCUCAACCCCGGGACUGCAUUGGAAACUGCCCGUCUUGAGUGCCGGAGAGGUAAGCGGAAUUCCCCGUGUAGCGGUGAAAUGCGUAGAGAUGGGGAGGAACACCAGUGGCGAAGGCGGCCUGCUGGGCUUUAACUGACGCUGAGGCACGAAAGCGUGGGUAGCAAACA